GCCGGGGUAGCUCAAUCGGUAGAGCGUGUGGCUCUUAUCAACCUCUGAUAUUCCAACCUCAAGGUCGCGGGUUCGAGCCCCGCCUUCGGCU
rnacentral:tRNA from 1 species